GACGAACGCUGGCGGCGUGCUUAACACAUGCAAGUCGAACGAUGACGACCGAGCUUGCUCGGUCUGAUUAGUGGCGAACGGGUGAGUAACACGUGAGCAACCUGCCCUUCACUCUGGGAUAACCUCGGGAAAUCGGGGCUAAUACCGGAUAUGAACUCCUGUCGCAUGGCGGGUGUUGGAAAGUUUUUCGGUGAAGGAUGGGCUCGCGGCCUAUCAGUUUGUUGGUGAGGUAGUGGCUCACCAAGGCGAUGACGGGUAGCCGGCCUGAGAGGGCGACCGGCCACGCUGGGACUGAGACACGGCCCAGACUCCUACGGGAGGCAGCAGUGGGGAAUAUUGCACAAUGGGCGAAAGCCUGAUGCAGCGACGCCGCGUGAGGGAUGACGGCCUUCGGGUUGUAAACCUCUUUCAGCAGGGAAGAAGCGAAAGUGACGGUACCUGCAGAAGAAGCGCCGGCUAACUACGUG
rnacentral:rRNA from 1 species